CAGCAAUUUUCGUCCAAGCACAAACCGCAAACAUUUUCGCGCGUUUGUUUACGUUUGAAGCGGGGCGUUUACCGUUGGAAACGGAAAUGUUUCACUGCUCAUUCGACGUGUUAUAGUGAAAAGCCUAAUUCAAUUAUUUUUCAUGUUUUGAUGUGCUUUCGUGUACUUUUCAGUGUUUCCAAGCUCACGAUAUUGUAAGAGCGACC